rnacentral:rRNA from 1 species
GAUGAACGCUGGCGGCGUGCCUAAUACAUGCAAGUCGAGCGAACAGACGAGGAGCUUGCUCCUCUGACGUUAGCGGCGGACGGGUGAGUAACACGUGGAUAACCUACCUAUAAGACUGGGAUAACUUCGGGAAACCGGAGCUAAUACCGUAUAAUAUAUUGAACCGCAUGGUUCAAUAGUGAAAGACGGUUUUGCUGUCACUUAUAGAUGGAUCCGCGCCGCAUUAGCUAGUUGGUAAGGUAACGGCUUACCAAGGCGACGAUGCGUAGCCGACCUGGGAGGGUGGUCGGCCACCCUGGAAGUGAGCCAGGGUCCAGAGUCCUACGGGAGGCAGCAGUAGGGAAUCUUCCGCAAUGGGCGAAAGCCUGACGGAGUAACGCCGAGUGAGUGAUGAAGGUCUUCGGAUCGUAAAAAUCUGUUAUUAGGGAAGAACAAAUGUGUAAGUAACUAUGCACGUCUUGACGGUACCUGAUCAGAAAGCCACGGCUAACUACGUG